UACGAAGGGGGCUAGCGUUGUUCGGAUUUACUGGGCGUAAAGCGCACGUAGGCGGAUCGUUAAGUCGGGGGUGAAAUCCUGGAGCUCAACUCCAGAACUGCCUUCGAUACUGGCGAUCUUGAGUCCGGAAGAGGUGAGUGGAACUCCUAGUGUAGAGGUGGAAUUCGUAGAUAUCGAGAAGAACACCGGUGGCGAAGGCGGCCAUCUGGACGGUGACUGACGCUGAGACGCGAAAGCGUGGGGGGCAAACAGG
rnacentral:rRNA from 1 species